rnacentral:other from 1 species
AGGGAGGGUGCCACCCCUUCUCUCUUUAGAGAGUGCGCCUGGCGGUCUUUCCGUCUCUGGAAAAAGGAGCACAUGGCAUGCUACAAUUGGCACAAGAAAACAAGCUUUGCGGAUUCUUUCUUUGUACUAGAGGAAGCUGUAGCGACCCUGUAUGGCGAGCGGACUCCCCUCUCGGCGACGAGAGCCUCUCGGGCCAAAAGCCAAGUGUUAAUAGCACCCAUACAGGCGGCAGUACCCCACUGCCCUUUCUCAACAUACAAUGACUGAUGAACCACUGUUGGUUUUUCUGACACCUUUGUAGUAGGAUUCCAAGGAAUGUCCUGAAGGUACCCUGUUAGCUUACGCGCAGGAUCUGAUCAGGAGUCUCUUUACAGUGCUGUACACUGUGCAAGGGAUUAAAAAUUGUUUGAGGAAUCCCCGAGAUAGUGGUCUAUCUCUUCCUAUUUUGUUUUACAGACAC